UACGAAGGGGGCUAGCGUUGCUCGGAAUUACUGGGCGUAAAGGGAGCGUAGGCGGACAUUUAAGUCAGGGGUGAAAUCCCAGAGCUCAACUCUGGAACUGCCUUUGAUACUGGGUGUCUUGAGUGUGAUAGAGGUAUGUGGAACUCCGAGUGUAGAGGUGAAAUUCGUAGAUAUUCGGAAGAACACCAGUGGCGAAGGCGACAUACUGGAUCAUUACUGACGCUGAGGCACGAAGGCCAGGGAGCAAACGGG
rnacentral:rRNA from 1 species